rnacentral:lncRNA from 1 species
UGGAGGGGCCGAGCAAGGCACUUCACAUACAAUGCAAGGUCUCAAUGCUCACAACAGCCCUGGGAAGUAGGUUUUACUAUUCGCAGUGUAUAGACGAGGUAACCGCUCAGAGAGAUUAGCUUUCCCAAGAGCUCCCAGCUUUUAAGUGGAAGAUCUAAAUCCUAAAUCUGUUCGACUAAAAGCCCGGAGUAACUGGGCGGAGGGCCUUGUGCCGCUCCGUGCUGGUCUGAGGUCGGGAACUGUGAAUCAUAUUUAUUUAUGCAACGCUGAGCACGUGUCUGUGUGUGUAAUUCACAAACGAAAAAACAAAUCCAGGUCCGGGUAUCUGUUCUCUGGAAGUUUAGAAGCCUGCGUGGUGGAGAGCUGCCAAAGUCUGCCCUCAUUCAUUCGCUCCUUGGAUCCCGUAAGAAGUGUUUGUGGCGCACUUGGGUAUUCCGGGCGGGGCGCUAAACUAGAAGAGGGGACGGCGAGCCGGCUGCUCCCCAGCCUGACUUGACUUUCUCCGGGGCAAGGGUUAGGGUUAAGGGAAGCAGAAACGCCUGGAGUGGAUGAGCAGUGGAUCCACUUGGAGCAGCCUUGCUCGAAGAAUACCCCCAGGAUCUCUCCUUGCUGUGGAUCUCGAAUAUGCCUUUUUUCUGACCUUGCCCAUGUUCAUUCGUUGUGAGGAAGCAGCACAGCGAGGUCGUGAAGAGAGGAGACUCUGGAGCCAGGUUGGGGACAGGGAGAGUCGUGGUCCUUCUUGGAGAGCUGGGGUGUCCUUUGCUGAAUUCACAGAGGCUCUGGAGGAAUAA